GACGAACGCUGGCGGCGUGCUUAACACAUGCAAGUCGAACGGAAAGGCCCUGCUUUUGUGGGGUGCUCGAGUGGCGAACGGGUGAGUAACACGUGAGUAACCUGCCCUUGACUUUGUGAUAACUUCAGGAAACUGGGGCUAAUACCGGAUAGGAGCUCCUGCUGCAUGGUGGGGGUUGGAAAGUUUCGGCGGUUGGGGAUGGACUCGCGGCUUAUCAGCUUGUUGGUGGGGUAGUGGCUUACCAAGGCUUUGACGGGUAGCCGGCCUGAGAGGGUGACCGGCCACAUUGGGACUGCGAUACGGCGCAGACUCCUACGGGAGGCAGCAGUGGGGAAUAUUGCACAAUGGGCGGAAGCCUGAUGCAGCAACGCCGCGUGCGGGAUGACGGCCUUCGGGUUGUAAACCGCUUUCGCCUGUGACGAAGCGUGAGUGACGGUAAUGGGUAAAGAAGCACCGGCUAACUACGUG
rnacentral:rRNA from 1 species